UACGUAGGGUGCGAGCGUUAAUCGGAAUUACUGGGCGUAAAGAGCUCGUAGGCGGUUCGUCGCGUCGGCUGUGAAAACCCGGAGCUCAACUCCGGGCCUGCAGUCGAUACGGGCGGACUUGAGUGUUGCAGGGGAGACUGGAAUUCCGUGGUGUAGCGGUGAAAUGCGCAGAUAUCAGGAGGAACACCGGUGGCGAAGGCGGGUCUCUGGGCAACUACUGACGCUGAGGAGCGAAAGCGUGGGGAGCGAACAGG
rnacentral:rRNA from 1 species